rnacentral:tRNA from 3 species
GCGAAAGUAGCUCAGUUGGUAGAGUGCAACCUUGCCAAGGUUGAUGUCGCGAGUUCGAGCCUCGUCUUUCGCUCCA